CCUGGCUCAGGACGAACGCUGGCGGCGUGCCUAAUACAUGCAAGUAGAACGCUGAGGACUGGUGCUUGCACUGGUCUAAGGAGUUGCGAACGGGUGAGUAACGCGUAGGUAACCUACCUCAUAGCGGGGGAUAACUAUUGGAAACGAUAGCUAAUACCGCAUGACAAUAGGGUACACAUGUACCCUAUUUAAAAGGGGCAAAUGCUUCACUAUGAGAUGGACCUGCGUUGUAUUAGCUAGUUGGUAAGGUAACGGCUUACCAAGGCGACGAUACAUAGCCGACCUGAGAGGGUGAUCGGCCACACUGGGACUGAGACACGGCCCAGACUCCUACGGGAGGCAGCAGUAGGGAAUCUUCGGCAAUGGGGGGAACCCUGACCGAGCAACGCCGCGUGAGUGAAGAAGGUUUUCGGAUCGUAAAGCUCUGUUGUUAGAGAAGAACGGUAAUGGGAG
rnacentral:rRNA from 1 species